UAUACAAUUGUGUGUUUUGUUUCCUUUGAAAAAAAUACUCAGCUGUCAGAGUAAAUAUGUAAGUAGAAAUAUUUCCAUAGAAAAAAAUCGUGUUUGGAAUAGAUUACAUAUAUGCCUACAUUCAAAUUUCCCGCCACCACAUUAUUUUCCUUCAUAGUUCCACGAGUAUAAACUUGGAGCGCUAGGGUAGAACUUAAAACACGAAAAGUAGUAUUGAGUUUCCAAUCUUUCCGUAGGUGGAUAAUCUUUGCCGUGAUUCAGUCACGGGCCAUUUUGUGACACCCAAAUUAUGUUCGUUAUUAGUUUGUAAUGGGUUUGCUGAUGAGAGUUUAGGUUGCCGAAAUAUUAUGGUUUCGUGUGCUGCGUAUGGUUGCACGAAUAGAACAGAUAGAAAAAUUCCAGGAGUGUCAUUUCACAAGUUGCCUCGUCAUGAAGAGAAAAGGAAGUUGUGGAUGAAAGCAAUCAGAAGGAAGAAUUGGCAUCCUGGACCAAGGACAUGCAUUUGUUCUCAGCAUUUUCGCGAAGAGGACUUUGACAGGAUGUCGUUGUGUUAUGUUCGCCUUCGUGAAGAUGCUGUACCCAGCAUUUUCCCAGCUUUUCCUAAGCAUCUACAGCAGACAUUGAAGAAACGAAGAACGGUAACAUCAAUUAAAUCUAUUCUUGGAAGCACAAGUGAUGUUCAGAGAAGUUCUUUUCCAGACACAAAAUCAAAGACAGACAGUGAGAUAUUCAGUAAUAAUGCUGCAGAAUACCCAGGAAGGUUAAGAAGUCACUGUGAAGAUGUGAAGAGUGGGUGUGAGUCGGACAACAUGUCUGAAAACAUUCCACAUGCACUUGUUUUGGUGUGCAGUUUUUGUAACUUGGCUUUGGCAGAGUGCUCGUGCUUGAAUGACUGUGAAUCUUCUCCCUCCUUCCAUGGCAAAAGCAAAGACACCUUGAUGACAUUGUGCACCGGGGGCAAAGACCACGGGAGGUGGCCUCACCAACAGACUGUUGCUGUGUAGACUACAGUUUUGACUGCUCUGGGAAAUAAUUUGUGGUGAACUAUGAUCUAGUAGAACAUGUUGACCUUCGUAAACAAGAGCAACCUUUCAUGCGGGCAAAAGUGCAUCUAGUCGUGUCAAUUGGACGAA